rnacentral:piRNA from 1 species
UGCCAGGCACUAAAAUAAGAUGAAGCA